rnacentral:rRNA from 1 species
GAUGAACGCUGGCGGCGUGCCUAAUACAUGCAAGUCGAGCGAACGGACGAGAAGCUUGCUUCUCUGAUGUUAGCGGCGGACGGGUGAGUAACACGUGGAUAACCUACCUAUAAGACUGGGAUAACUUCGGGAAACCGGAGCUAAUACCGGAUAAUAUUUUGAACCGCAUGGUUCAAAAGUGAAAGACGGUCUUGCUGUCACUUAUAGAUGGAUCCGCGCUGCAUUAGCUAGUUGGUAAGGUAACGGCUUACCAAGGCAACGAUGCAUAGCCGACCUGAGAGGGUGAUCGGCCACACUGGAACUGAGACACGGUCCAGACUCCUACGGGAGGCAGCAGUAGGGAAUCUUCUGCAAUGGGCGAAAGCCUGACGGAGCAACGCCGCGUGAGUGAUGAAGGUCUUCGGAUCGUAAAACUCUGUUAUUAGGGAAGAACAUAUGUGUAAGUAACUGUGCACAUCUUGACGGUACCUAAUCAGAAAGCCACGGCUAACUACGUGCCAGCAGCCGCGGUAAUACGUAGGUGGCAAGCGUUAUCCGGAAUUAUUGGGCGUAAAGCGCGCGUAGGCGGUUUUUUAGUCUGAUGUGAAAGCCCACGGCUCAACCGUGGAGGGUCAUUGGAAACUGGAAAACUUGAGUGCAGAAGAGGAAAGUGGAAUUCCAUGUGUAGCGGUGAAAUGCGCAGAGAUAUGGAGGAACACCAGUGGCGAAGGCGACUUUCUGGUCUGUAACUGACGCUGAUGUGCGAAAGCGUGGGGAUCAAACAGGAUUAGAUACCCUGGUAGUCCACGCCGUAAACGAUGAGUGCUAAGUGUUAGGGGGUUUCCGCCCCUUAGUGCUGCAGCUAACGCAUUAAGCACUCCGCCUGGGGAGUACGACCGCAAGGUUGAAACUCAAAGGAAUUGACGGGGACCCGCACAAGCGGUGGAGCAUGUGGUUUAAUUCGAAGCAACGCGAAGAACCUUACCAAAUCUUGACAUCCUUUGACAACUCUAGAGAUAGAGCCUUCCCCUUCGGGGGACAAAGUGACAGGUGGUGCAUGGUUGUCGUCAGCUCGUGUCGUGAGAUGUUGGGUUAAGUCCCGCAACGAGCGCAACCCUUAAGCUUAGUUGCCAUCAUUAAGUUGGGCACUCUAAGUUGACUGCCGGUGACAAACCGGAGGAAGGUGGGGAUGACGUCAAAUCAUCAUGCCCCUUAUGAUUUGGGCUACACACGUGCUACAAUGGACAAUACAAAGGGCAGCGAAACCGCGAGGUCAAGCAAAUCCCAUAAAGUUGUUCUCAGUUCGGAUUGUAGUCUGCAACUCGACUACAUGAAGCUGGAAUCGCUAGUAAUCGUAGAUCAGCAUGCUACGGUGAAUACGUUCCCGGGUCU